rnacentral:ncRNA from 1 species
UGGGGAUAACAGGCUUAUCUCCCCCAAGAGUCCACAUCGACGGGGAGGUUUGGCACCUCGAUGUCGGCUCAUCGCAUCCUGGGGCUGAAGUAGGUCCCAAGGGUUGGGCUGUUCGCCCAUUAAAGCGGUACGCGAGCUGGGUUCAGAACGUCGUGAGACAGUUCGGUCCCUAUCUGUCGCGGGCGCAGGAAGUUUGAGGAGAGCUGUCCUUAGUACGAGAGGACCGGGAUGGACGCACCGCUGGUGCACCAGUUGUCACGCCAGUGGCACAGCUGGGUAGCUAUGUGCGGAAGGGAUAAGCGCUGAAAGCAUCUAAGCGUGAAGCCCCCUCCAAGAUGAGACUUCCCACAGCGUUAAGCUGGUAAGACCCCUCAUAGACGAUGAGGUUGAUAGGUUCGGUGUGGAAGCGCGGCAACGCGUGGAGCUGACGAAUACUAAUCGGUCGAGGACUUAUCCAC